rnacentral:rRNA from 1 species
UACAGAGGGGGCAAGCGUUGUUCGGAAUUACUGGGCGUAAAGGGCGCGUAGGCGGCGUGCUAAGUCGAACGUGAAAUCCCCGGGCUCAACCCGGGAACUGCGUCCGAGACUGGCAUGCUUGAAUCCGGGAGAGGGAUGUGGAACUCCAGGUGUAGCGGUGAAAUGCGUAGAUAUCUGGAGGAACAUCGGUGGCGAAGGCGGCAUCCUGGACCGGUAUUGACGCUGAGGCGCGAAAGCCAGGGGAGCAAACGGG